rnacentral:rRNA from 1 species
GACGAACGCUGGCGGCGUGCUUAACACAUGCAAGUCGAACGGAAAGGCCCUGCUUUUGUGGGGUGCUCGAGUGGCGAACGGGUGAGUAACACGUGAGUAACCUGCCCUUGACUUUGGGAUAACUUCAGGAAACUGGGGCUAAUACCGGAUAGGAGCUCCUGCUGCAUGGUGGGGGUUGGAAAGUUUCGGCGGUUGGGGAUGGACUCGCGGCUUAUCAGCUUGUUGGUGGGGUAGUGGCUUACCAAGGCUUUGACGGGUAGCCGGCCUGAGAGGGUGACCGGCCACAUUGGGACUGAGAUACGGCCCAGACUCCUACGGGAGGCAGCGGUGGGGAAUAUUACACAAUGGGCGGAAGCCUGAUGCAGCAGCGCCGCGUGCGGGAUGACGGCCUUCGGGUUGUAAACCGCUUUCGCCUGUGACGAAGCGUGAGUGACGGUAAUGGGUAAAGAAGCACCGGCUAACUACGUG